rnacentral:rRNA from 1 species
GUCGAACGGACCGUAUACGCAGCUUGCUGCGUGUAUGGUUAGUGGCAGACGGGUGAGUAAUGCAUAGGAAUCUACCUAGUAGUAUGGGAUAGCCACUAGAAAUGGUGGGUAAUACUGUAUAAUCCCUGCGGGGGAAAGAUUUAUCGCUAUUAGAUGAGCCUAUGUCAGAUUAGCUAGUUGGUGGGGUAAUGGCCUACCAAGGCGGUGAUCUGUAGCUGGUCUGAGAGGAUGAUCAGCCACACUGGAACUGAGACACGGUCCAGACUCCUACGGGAGGCAGCAGUGGGGAAUAUUGGACAAUGGGCGCAAGCCUGAUCCAGCUAUGCCGCGUGAGUGAGGAAGGCCUUAGGGUUGUAAAACUCUUUCAGUAGGGAAGAUAAUGACGGUACCUACAGAAGAAGUCCCGGCAAACUCCGUGCCAGCAGCCGCGGUAAUACGGAGGGGGCAAGCGUUGUUCGGAAUUAUUGGGCGUAAAGGGCAUGUAGGCGGUUUGGUAAGUUAAAGGUGAAAUACCAGGGCUUAACCCUGGGGCUGCUUUUAAUACUGCAGGACUAGAGUCCGGAAGAGGAUAGCGGAAUUCCUAGUGUAGAGGUGAAAUUCGUAGAUAUUAGGAGGAACACCAGUGGCGAAGGCGGCUGUCUGGUCCGGUACUGACGCUGAGGUGCGAA